rnacentral:rRNA from 1 species
UGGGGAAUUUUGGACAAUGGGCGAAAGCCUGAUCCAGCAAUGCCGCGUGUGUGAAGAAGGCCUUCGGGUUGUAAAGCACUUUUGUCCGGAAAGAAAUCCUUGGCUCUAAUACAGUCGGGGGAUGACGGUACCGGAAGAAUAAGCACCGGCUAACUACGUGCCAGCAGCCGCGGUAAUACGUAGGGUGCAAGCGUUAAUCGGAAUUACUGGGCGUAAAGCGUGCGCAGGCGGUUUGCUAAGACCGAUGUGAAAUCCCCGGGCUCAACCUGGGAACUGCAUUGGUGACUGGCAGGCUAGAGUAUGGCAGAGGGGGGUAGAAUUCCACGUGUAGCAGUGAAAUGCGUAGAGAUGUGGAGGAAUACCGAUGGCGAAGGCAGCCCCCUGGGCCAAUACUGACGCUCAUGCACGAAAGGCGUGGGGAGCAAACAGGAUUAGAUACCCUGGUAGUCCACGCCCUAAACGAUGUGAACUAGUUGUUGGGGAUUCAUUUUCCUUAGUAACGUAGCUAACGCUGAAGUUGACCGCCUGGGGAGUACGGUCGCAAGAUUAAAACUCAAAGGAAUUGACGGGGUCAUAGCUGUUUCCU